GACGAACGCUGGCGGCGUGCUUAACACAUGCCAGUCGAACGGAAAGGCCCUGCUUUUGUGGGGUGCUCGAGUGGCGAACGGGUGAGUAACACGUGAGUAACCUGCCCUUGACUUUGGGAUAACUUCAGGAAACUGGGGCUAAUACCGGAUAGGAGCUCCUGCUGCAUGGUGGGGGUUGGAAAGUUUCGGCGGUUGGGGGUGGACUCGCGGCUUAUCAGCUUGUUGGUGGGGUAGUGGCUUACCAAGGCUUUGACGGGUAGCCGGCCUGAGAGGGUGACCGGCCACAUUGGGACUGAGAUACGGCCCAGACUCCUACGGGAGGCAGCAGUGGGGAAUAUUGCACAAUGGGCGGAAGCCUGAUGCAGCAACGCCGCGUGCGGGAUGACGGCCUUCGGGUUGUAAACCGCUUUCGCCUGUGACGAAGCGUGAGUGACGGUAAUGGGGAAAGAAGCACCGGCUAACUACGG
rnacentral:rRNA from 1 species